CCUACGGGAGGCAGCAGUCGAGAAUCAUUCACAAUGGGGGAAACCCUGAUGGUGCGACGCCGCGUGGGGGAAUGAAGGUCUUCGGAUUGUAAACCCCUGUCAUGUGGGAGCAAAUUAAAAAGAUAGUACCACAAGAGGAAGAGACGGCUAACUCUGUGCCAGCAGCCGCGGUAAUACAGAGGUCUCAAGCGUUAUUCGGAAUCACUGGGCGUAAAGCGUGCGUAGGCUGUUUCGUAAGUCGAGUGUAAAAGGCGCGGGCUCAACCCGCGGACGGCACAUAAUACUGGGAAACAAGAGUAAUGGAGGGGAACCGGAAGUCUCGGUGUAGCAGUGAAAUGAGUAGAGAUAGAGAGGAACACUCGUGGCGAAGGCGGGUUCCUGGACAUUAACUGACGCGGAGGCACGAAGGCCAGGGGAGCGAAAGGGAUUAGAUACCCCGGUAGUC
rnacentral:rRNA from 1 species